rnacentral:rRNA from 1 species
UACGUAGGGUCCGAGCGUUGUCCGGAAUUACUGGGCGUAAAGAGCUCGUAGGUGGUUUGUCGCGUUGUUCGUGAAAACUCACAGCUUAACUGUGGGCGUGCGGGCGAUACGGGCAGACUUGAGUACUGCAGGGGAGACUGGAAUUCCUGGUGUAGCGGUGGAAUGCGCAGAUAUCAGGAGGAACACCGGUGGCGAAGGCGGCGAUCUGGGAAGAUACUGACGCUGAGGUGCGAAAGCGUGGGGAGCAAACAGG